CCUACGGGGGGCUGCAGUAGGGAAUCUUCGGCAAUGGACGAAAGUCUGACCGAGCAACGCCGCGUGAGUGAAGAAGGUUUUCGGAUCGUAAAACUCUGUUGGUAGAGGAGAACGUUGGUGAGAGUGGAAAGCUCAUCAAGUGACGGUAACUACCCAGAAAGGGACGGCUAACUACGUGCCAGCAGCCGCGGUAAUACGUAGGUCCCGAGCGUUGUCCGGAUUUAUUGGGCGUAAAGCGAGCGCAGGUGGUUUGGUAAGUGUGGUGUAGAAGGGAGUGGUUCAACCAUUGUAUGCAUUGGAAACUGGGAGGCUUGAGUGCAGGAGAGGAGAGUGGAAUUCCAUGUGGAGCGGUGAAAUGCGUAGAUAUAGGGAGGAACACCGGUGGCGAAAGCGGCUCUCUGGCCUGUAACUGACACUGAGGCUCGUAAGCGUGGGGAGCAAACAGGAUUAGAUACCCGGGUAGUC
rnacentral:rRNA from 1 species